AUUGUAGGGAGGAUUUGCAUUAACAUUAAAAAAAAGAGAUGGAUUUGUUCAUUUAAAAUAUAUUAAUCCAACACUUACCCUAUGCCUGGCACUACUGUAGAUACUGGGAAUACAGCAGGAAAUGAAACUGAAAAAAAUCCUUGCCUUCGUGGAACUUACAUUCCAGUGACUUCACCCAAAGACUCCAUUUAAAACACAAGAAAUUGAGAUACUGUCAACAAUAACUUAGCACUACUCCGCUACCUGUCAGGGCUACUUCGGCUGUUUAUACCAGAGUCAUGAAAAUGUGAAAUAACUUAAAGGCAAGAUGCAUUACUAGUAUGUAACUAAAGUGAACCGCCUGUGAUUUGCAGAGAAUAGAAGUGUGAUAGAAGUAGAUUGGAAAAGAUAGAGCAAAGGCUACUUCGACUGUUUAUACCAGAGUCAUGAAAAUGUGAAAUAACUUAAAGGCAAGAUGCAUUACUAGUAUGUAACUAAAGUGUAUAUUGAUAUGCCUGUUCAAAGAUUGCUUCAUCUCCAUCUCGUGCUGGAAACAUGUUCUGUGAAAGGAAUUGCCUCUACCUACUGGGUGCCAGUAACACAUUCCCCCAACCCUAGUU
rnacentral:lncRNA from 1 species